AAGUGACGGGAAGGAUCAUUA
rnacentral:rRNA from 1 species